GCUCCAGAAGCGUAUAUUUAAAUUGUUGCUGUUAAAAAGCUCGUAGUUGGAUUUCUGGUGUGGUGCGGCUGGUCCGUCGCCGAUAGGCGGUCGAGUACUGGCGUUGCGCCUACCAUCCUUCUGGAGAGGCCGACUGCACUUCAUUGUGUGGUUGGAACCACCGAUCCAGAUCGUUUACUUUGAAAAAAUUAGAGUGUUUA
rnacentral:rRNA from 1 species